UAGGGAAUCUUCGGCAAUGGACGGAAGUCUGACCGAGCAACGCCGCGUGAGUGAAGAAGGUUUUCGGAUCGUAAAGCUCUGUUGUAAGAGAAGAACGAGUGUGAGAGUGGAAAGUUCACACUGUGACGGUAUCUUACCAGAAAGGGACGGCUAACUACGUGCCAGCAGCCGCGGUAAUACGUAGGUCCCGAGCGUUGUCCGGAUUUAUUGGGCGUAAAGCGAGCGCAGGCGGUUAGAUAAGUCUGAAGUUAAAGGCUGUGGCUUAAACCAUUAUUAGGUUUGGAAACUGUUUAACUUGAGUGCAAGAGGGGAGAGUGGAAUUCCAUGUGUAGCGGUGAAAUGCGUAGAUAUAUGGAGGAACACCGGUGGCGAAAGCGGCUCUCUGGCUUGUAACUGACGCUGAGGCUCGAAAGCGUGGGGAGCAAACAGGAUUAGAUACCCUGGUAGUCCACGCUGUCGAUGAGUGCUAGGUGUUAGACCCUUUCCGUUUAGUGCCGUAGCUAACGCAUUAAGCACUCCGCCUGGGGAGUACGACCGCAAGGUUG
rnacentral:rRNA from 1 species